CUGAUAUUAAGCUUCUCUUCCCCUAUUUUCAGUCUGAGAUUUCCCGAUUAGAAGAUGAUAUAAAUCGGUUGCAUGACCAGCUAAGAAAGGCUGGAGUUAAUCUGGAUGAUAAUCCAGUAGUAAGCAACAAGAAUUCCAGAAAAGAUCUUGUAGUAGAAAUUGAUCCUGUCAAUAAUGAAACACGGGAAAAAGUUAAAGAGGCAAUGCUCCAUGCUUGGAGUUCUUAUGUUAAGUAUGCCUGGGGAAUGGACAAGCUUCAGCCACAAUCGAAGAAUGGUAUCAACAGCUUUGGUGGUCUUGGAGCAACCCUUGUUGACUCACUUGAUACCCUAUACAUAAUGGGCCUGAAAGAUGAAUUUUAGAAAGCUAGAGACUGGGUGGCGGAGUCAUUAGACUUUGACAAGGAUUAUGAUGCGAGUGUUUUUGAAACGACCAUAAGGGUUGUUGGAGGUCUGCUUAGUUCAUACGAUCUAUCUGGUGAUAAAGUAUUUCUU